GCUCUCCAUGGAGAAGUCAUGUCAUGAGUCAGAAGAGUGCAGGCUGAGGCAUGCCCUCCACUGAAUGGCUUGUCUGCACUCUAAAAGCCAAGUGAACCAACCAUUCCAUCCGUAUGAAGAGAGUAAGUCCUGGAUUUGCGUCGUGAUGUCAUCUCAGGUGCCACUGCUAUCUGUUCUGAGGUUCACUCUGUUCAGCAGCCUUGGACUCUUCAUGGAGUAACAGAUUGGUAUAACUACAGCCUUGACCCUCACUUGAACCACCACAGCCUCUUCUGGACAGCCAGCAGUCCUUGAAGUCUCAGAGUCUUUUAACCAAAGGGUGUGGAUGUUUCCUUAUUGAUAUCAUCAAAGAUCUAGUGUAUCAAGAUGACAAACUUUGCUCCCUGUUGGGCCAAAAAGAGACAUAAAAUUUAAAACAACAACAACAAAACAAAACAAGGAAAACAACAACGAUAAAAAACAGCCCUCUUCUUUUAGUGACUGCAGUACUGCACCAGGGAAGAGGUGGUCAUCAACUAUGAAGGAAUCCAGACCUUUAAUCCUGUAGAGCUUCCAAACUAUUAAAGUGGCAGAAAACAACCUUCUAAAGAGAUAGACCCCUAAGGAUUUGGAUAACAAGAGAAAAGACAACAACAAAUAAUUUCUUUGGUGAGACCCUUACAUAUUAUGGAAACCGGGCUUAUGACAAUUGUGGCAUUGAUUGCCAGAAAAGUGGAAGAAUGGAAUGUGGAUGGAAAAACACAACAGAGCAUCUAAGAGAUAUGGGACAAUAACAAAAGAUCUAACCUGCAUGUAAUUGGCAUCCCAGAAAGAAAAUAUAUUAAGAAAUAAUAUGUAAGGAUUUUCCAAAAUGAAUUACAGAUACUGAAUCAUAGUUCCAAGAUGCUCAAAGAACACCAAGCAGAAUAAAUGCUCCCCCGAAAAGAACUCCCACAUCAUAGGCAUAUCAUAUUCAAACUGCUGAAAACCAGAGAUAAUGAGAACAUUCUGAAGGCAGCCAAUGAAAACAGACACACUGUACACACAGAAGUUAAAAACCAAAGGUAAGAAGGACAGAAUAUUUCUCAGCGGAAACUAUGCAAGCCAGAAGAUAGUGGAAUAAUGUCUUUGAUGCUGAUUGACAUCAAAAACCAGUAAAUUCAGAAUUCUUUACCCAGCAAAAAUAUCUUUCAAAAAGAAAGGAGAAAUAAAGACUUUCCCAGACUCAAAACAAACAACAACAACAAAACCUGAGAGAAUUAAUUGCCAGUGUACCUAUGCCAUAAGAAAUGUUAUAGAAAGUUCUUCAGGAAUAAGGAAUGUAAUAGAAGAUAGAAACUUGAAUCCAGAGAAAGAAAUUAAGAGCAUUGGAAAUGGAAUGACUAAAGGUAAACAUAAAAGUCAUGUUUUAUUACUUUUAAUUGCUCUAAAAAAUAACUAUCUAAAGCAAAAGUAGAAGUAUUGUGCAUGUAUAGCAUUUGUAAGAGUAAAUACAGGGCAACAAUAGAACAAGGGUGAGGAGCUGGAAGUGGGAAUAUAUUACCUUUAUAGUAGACAUGAAACAGAAGAUAAUUAUUUGAAAGUAGACUUUGAUCAAACAAGAUGUGUAUGGUAAAGUCUAAGGCAACUACUAAAAUUUUUAAAAACAGUUACACAUGUUAAUUCAAUAGUGAAGAUAACAUUAGAUAGUAAAAAAUGCUUAAUUAAUCAAAAAGGGGGCCAAAAGAAAGCACAAAUGGAACAAAUCAAAAACAGCUGUUUAGAUUAUUGACUUUAACUCAAUCAUAUCAAUAAUCAUAUUAAAUGCGAACCACACUAAUAAAAAGAUAGAAAUUGCUAGACAAUAUAAAAAGCAAGACUCAACUAUAUACUGUCUACAAAAAUACCAUUUUAAACAUAAAAACAUAGAUAGGUUAAAAGUAAAAGGAUGAAAAUAGAUGUACCAUACAGACACUAAUCAAAAGAAAGCUGAGUAGCUUCAUUAAUGUCAAAGUAGGCUUCAGACAAGAAAUAUUACCAGUGAUAAA